rnacentral:rRNA from 1 species
UACGGAGGGUGCAAGCGUUAUCCGGAUUCACUGGGUUUAAAGGGUGCGUAGGUGGGCAGGUAAGUCAGUGGUGAAAUCUCCGGGCUUAACCCGGAAACUGCCAUUGAUACUAUCUGUCUUGAAUACCCUGGAGGUGAGCGGAAUAUGUCAUGUAGCGGUGAAAUGCUUAGAUAUGACAUAGAACACCCAUUGCGAAGGCAGCUCACUACGGGAAUAUUGACACUGAGGCACGAAAGCGUGGGGAUCAAACGGG